rnacentral:rRNA from 1 species
AUUGAACGCUGGCGGCAUGCUUGACACAUGCAAGUCGAACGGUAACAGGGUGCUUGCACCGCUGACGAGUGGCGAACGGGUGAGUAAUGCGUCGGAACGUGCCGAGUAGUGGGGGAUAACGCAGCGAAAGUUGUGCUAAUACCGCAUACGUACUGAGGUAGAAAGUGGGGGACCUUCGGGCCUCACGCUAUUCGAGCGGCCGACGUCUGAUUAGCUAGUAGGUGAGGUAAAGGCUCACCUAGGCGACGAUCAGUAGCGGGUCUGAGAGGAUGAUCCGCCACACUGGGACUGAGAAACGGCCCAGACUCCUACGGGAGGCAGCAGUGGGGAAUUUUGGACAAUGGGCGAAAGCCUGAUCCAGCCAUGCCGCGUGUCUGAAGAAGGCCUUCGGGUUGUAAAGGACUUUUGUCAGGGAGGAAAUCCCUAGCGUUAAUACCGCUGGGGGAUGACAGUACCUGAAGAAUAAGCACCGGCUAACUACGUGCCAGCCGCCGCUGUAAUAC